rnacentral:rRNA from 1 species
GACGAACGCUGGCGGCGUGCUUAACACAUGCAAGUCGAACGGAAAGGCCCUGCUUUUGUGGGGUGCUCGAGUGGCGAACGGGUGAGUAACACGUGAGUAACCUGCCCUUGACUUUGGGAUAACUUCAGGAAACUGGGGCUAAUACCGGAUAGGAGCUCCUGCUGCAUGGUGGGGGUUGGAAAGUUUCGGCGGUUGGGGAUGGACUCGCGGCUUAUCAGCUUGUUGGUGGGGUAGUGGCUUACCAAGGCUUUGACGGGUAGCCGGCCUGAGAGGGUGACCGGGCACCAUGGGACUGAGGUACGGCCCAGACGCCUACGGGAGGCAGCAGGGGGGAAUAUUGCACAAUGGGCGGGAGCCUGAGGCAGCAACGCCGCGUGCGGGAUGACGGCCUUCGGGUUGUGAACCGCUUUCGGCUGUGACGAAGCGGUAGUGACGGUAAUGGGUAAAGAAGCACCGGCUAACUUCGUG